UACGAAGGGGGCUAGCGUUGCUCGGAUUGACUGGGCGUAAAGGGCGCGUAGGCGGUUCGUACAGUCAGACGUGAAAUUCCUGGGCUCAACCUGGGGGCUGCGUUUGAUACGUGCGGACUUGAGUGCGGAAGAGGGUCGUGGAAUUCCCAGUGUAGAGGUGAAAUUCGUAGAUAUUGGGAGGAACACCGGUGGCGAAGGCGGCUACCUGGACCAGCACUGACACUGAAGCACGAAAGCGUGGGGAGCAAACAGG
rnacentral:rRNA from 1 species